rnacentral:rRNA from 1 species
AAAGGCGAAAAGAACCCCGGCGAGGGGAGUGAAAAAGAACCUGAAACCGUGUACGUACAAGCAGUGGGAGCCUCUUUUAUGGGGUGACUGCGUACCUUUUGUAUAAUGGGUCAGCGACUUAUAUUCUGUAGCAAGGUUAACCGAAUAGGGGAGCCGAAGGGAAACCGAGUCUUAACUGGGCGUUAAGUUGCAGGGUAUAGACCCGAAACCCGGUGAUCUAGCCAUGGGCAGGUUGAAGGUUGGGUAACACUAACUGGAGGACCGAACCGACUAAUGUUGAAAAAUUAGCGGAUGACUUGUGGCUGGGGGUGAAAGGCCAAUCAAACCGGGAGAUAGCUGGUUCUCCCCGAAAGCUAUUUAGGUAGCGCCUCGUGAAUUCAUCUCCGGGGGUAGAGCACUGUUUCGGCAAGGGGGUCAUCCCGACUUACCAACCCGAUGCAAACUGCGAAUACCGGAGAAUGUUAUCACGGGAGACACACGGCGGGUGCUAACGUCCGUCGUGAAGAGGGAAACAACCCAGACCGCCAGCUAAGGUCCCAAAGUCAUGGUUAAGUGGGAAACGAUGUGGGAAGGCCCAGACAGCCAGGAUGUUGGCUUAGAAGCAGCCAUCAUUUAAAGAAAGCGUAAUAGCUCACUGGUCGAGUCGGCCUGCGCGGAAGAUGUAACGGGGCUAAACCAUG